UAAUUGCUGCUGGCUAGUCUGAAGGAACUCAGUGGGGAAGUUGUGAGGGAGGGGUUCUAUGUAAGGAGGAAGUUCUGAAGCUUUGAGGAGCUUCGUCUUGAAGACGGGGCCAGGUCCAUCCAGCUCAGUGGUUGCCAUAGAGAUUAAAGGAUUUCUCAAACAUGCAUGACAGAAUCAAAUCAACACUCCAGAAAUGGAGCCACAUGACAGCAUAAGGCAUAAGCAGCGUGAAGAGUAAGGUCAGGACCUUCCGAUAAUACAGAGAGAAACUCCAGUCUUCCGUCUGAGUAACCACUCGGUCACAGUGGGCUGUGCUGACGACAGAAGGAGGCGCUCCGUGGAGAAGAUUGGCUAAAGAUACCACUUCACUGUGUGUGCACUGAAUCUUCAAUAAGGAAAGAGCAACAGACAGCAACCGGCACCAGCAAGACAGCAGAGCCACCCUCACUGGACCGAGUUAACAAGGCUGUGCCCUGCAUGGUUGGAGUAAAGAAGCAGAAGCUGUUGUUGCUCCACAGGAUGCUGCAAUUCUCUUCUGUUUUACACCAAAGCUGCUGAGAUGAUUUGAAUCAUUUGGAAAUUUGAAGGAAUGUAUUCUUUUGAAAGGUUUUAGGCCACCUUAUGGCUGCAGUACGCAACGUUUGUAAAA